AACAUUUAAAAUUUUUAUAAAUCCAAAUUAGCUUAAAAGCACUAACACCCUCCCUCUGACUUGUGUUCACUGCGACUACCAUCAUAGGAUACAUCUAAUGUUUAAAUGAUAAUCCAACAUUUGAUCAUUGCCUGUUACUGCAGUAUUGCUCUCAAUUUAUAUCACAUCCAAAUCCAAUUGCCUGGAUGUAGCACAUACAAUUGAACAUAUGAGAAACGACUCUAAUACCGUUGAGAUAAAGUUCAUUGGUGCUUCUUCUUGUGCAUCACCAUUGAGGCAACUGUACAUCUUCUAACAAAGAGGCCUUUGAGACUCUG
rnacentral:misc_RNA from 1 species